rnacentral:rRNA from 1 species
ACGCAACCCUUCGGGGUUGAGUGGCGGACGGGUGAGUAACGCGUGAGAAUCUGCCUUCAGGUCGGGGACAACCACUGGAGACGGUGGCUAAUACCCGAUGUGCGCAACGUGAAAGAUUUAUCGCCUGAAGAGGAGCUCGCGUCUGAUUAGCUAGUUGGUGGGGUAAAAACUCACCAAGGCGACGAUCAGUAGCUGGUCUGAGAGGAUGAUCAGCCACACUGGGACUGAGACACGGCCCAGACUCCUACGGGAGGCAGCAGUGGGGAAUUUUCCGCAAUGGGCGAAAGCCUGACGGAGCAAGACCGCGUGAGGGAGGAAGGCUCUUGGGUUGUAAACCUCUUUUCUCAGGGAAGAACACAAUGACGGUACCUGAGGAAUCAGCCUCGGCUAACUCCGUGCCAGCAGCCGCGGUAAUACGGAGGAGGCAAGCGUUAUCCGGAAUUAUUGGGCGUAAAGCGUCCGCAGGUGGCACUUCAAGUCUGUCGUCAAAGACUGGGGCUUAACCCUGGAAAGGCGGUGGAAACUGAAGCGCUAGAGUGUGGUAGGGGUAGAGGGAAUUCCCGGUGUAGCGGUGAAAUGCGUAGAGAUCGGGAAGAACAUCGGUGGCGAAGGCGCUCUACUGGACCACAACUGACACUCAGGGACGAAAGCUAGGGGAGCGAAUGGGAUUAGAUACCCCAGUAGUCCUAGCCGUAAACGAUGGAUACUAG